CGGCGUGCCUAAUACAUGCAAGUCGAGCGAACAGAGAAGGAGCUUGCUCCUUUGACGUUAGCGGCGGACGGGUGAGUAACACGUGGGCAACCUACCCUAUAGUUUGGGAUAACUCCGGGAAACCGGGGCUAAUACCGAAUAAUCUAUUGUCCCUCAUGRGACAAUACUGAAAGACGGCAUCUCGCUGUCGYUAUAGGAUGGGCCCGCGGCGCAUUAGCUAGUUGGUGAGGUAACGGCUCACCAAGGCGACGAUGCGUAGCCGACCUGAGAGGGUGAUCGGCCACACUGGGACUGAGACACGGCCCAGACUCCUACGGGAGGCAGCAGUAGGGAAUCUUCCACAAUGGGCGAAAGCCUGAUGGAGCAACGCCGCGUGAGUGAAGAAGGAUUUCGGUUCGUAAAACUCUGUUGUAAGGGAAGAACAAGUACAGUAGUAACUGGCUGUACCUUGACGGUACCUUAUUAGAAAGCCACGGCUAACUACGUGCC
rnacentral:rRNA from 1 species